CGAGCAACGCAUGGGGUCUCUAAAAUAAACUAAGAGAAGAGAGGGCUCGAUCUUUGCUAGCGUUUGAGUUUAUUUUCAAGAACACCGUCAAGGAGAGAGGACGUACAAAGGAAUUCUGUCUUAGAAUCAACUACGACGUCAUUAUUUCUGUAGAAUGUCCAUAGUGACCAUCAACAAAGAUUUAAAAACAUCGUUACAAUCGUGCGCGAAACGAUAAAAAAAACGAGCGUUAUAUCUUUAAAAUAAAAAAACAAAAAUCGUGAAAUAAUGUCAGUGUUGUUCGUCGUAAAUAAAAAUUUCGGUCGCUAUAAGAAACUCAUCUAUAGUAUCUUAUUUUCAUCAGCGCGUUAUUAAAUUCAUACCAAUCCCAAGACACAUCAUCAUAAUGACAUUGGGCUCUCUAUUCGAUUUGAA